rnacentral:rRNA from 1 species
UACUCCUACGGGAGGCAGCAGUGGGGAAUUUUGGACAAUGGGGGCAACCCUGAUCCAGCCAUCCCGCGUGUGCGAUGAAGGCCUUCGGGUUGUAAAGCACUUUUGGCAGGAAAGAAACGGCACGGGCUAAUAUCCUGUGCAACUGACGGUACCUGCAGA